rnacentral:rRNA from 1 species
AACAAGGUUUCCGUAGGUGAACCUGCGGAAGGAUCAUUACCGAGUUCCGGGCCCCAGUGGCCCGCUCUCCAACCAAAAACCGUCAGUAAACUGUACCGUCUGAUCAGAUAUUCAAAUAUCUUAAAACUUUCAACAACGGAUCUCUUGGUUCUGGCAUCGAUGAAGAACGCAGCGAAAUGCGAUAAGUAAUGUGAAUUGCAGAAUUCAGUGAAUCAUCGAAUCUUUGAACGCACAUUGCGCCCCCUGGCAUUCCGGGGGGCAUGCCUGUUCGAGCGUCAUUGCAACCCUCAAGCUCUGCUUGGUAUUGGGCGCCGUCCUUCAGCGGACGCGCCUCAAAGGCCUCGGCGGCGGCCUCUCAGCCUCAAGCGUAGUAACACACCUCUCUCGCUUUGGAGGCCGGGCGGUCGUCGGCCGGACGAACCUUCGGAUAACACAUCUCAAAGGUUGACCUCGGAUCAGGUAGGGAUACCCGCUGAACUUAAGCAUAUCAAUAAGCGGAGGA